GACAGAGGUGCCGAGCGUUAGGCGGAAUCACUGGGCUUAAAGCGUGUGUAGGCGGAUGCCUAAGUACCUUGUGAAAUCCCACGGCUCAACCGUGGAACUGCUCGGUAUACUGGGUGUCUUGAGCCACUUAGGGGCAACCGGAACAAACGGUGGAGCGGUGAAAUGCGUAGAUAUCGUUUGGAACGCCGAUGGUGAAAACAGGUUGCUGGGAGUGCGCCGACGCUGAGACACGAAAGCCAGGGGAGCAAACGGG
rnacentral:rRNA from 1 species